rnacentral:misc_RNA from 1 species
AGCAGCCGCGGUAAUUCCAGCUCCAAUAGCGUAUAUUAAAGUUGCUGCAGUUAAAAAGCUCGUAGUUGAAUUUCGGGAUCAAUAUGUUGGUCGUGCCUCGGUACGUACUAGCUUAUUGGUUUCUCCCUUCUGACGAACCAUGAUGUCAUUUAUUUGGUGUUAUGAGGAAUCAGGACUGUUACUUUGAAAAAUUAGAGUGUUUAAAGCAGGCCCACGCUUGAACACAUUAGCAUGGAAUAAUGAAAUAGGACGUUUGAUUCUAUUUUGUUGGUUUCUAGGAUCGACGUAAUGAUUAAUAGGGAUAGUUGGGGGCAUUAGUAUUCAAUUGUCAGAGGUGAAAUUCUUGGAUUUAUUGAAGACUAACUACUGCGAAAGCAUUUGCCAAGGAUGUUUUCAUUAAUCAAGAACGAAAGUUAGGGGAUCGAAGACGAUCAGAUACCGUCGUAGUCUUAACCAUAAACUAUGCCGACUAGGGAUCGGAUGAUGUUAAUUUUUAAUGACUCAUUCGGCUACCG